rnacentral:lncRNA from 1 species
GCCUAGCUUCAGUGCGUCGAUGGAGCACGUCUCCGGUUCAGGCGUUAGUGCCGGAGGUGGAGGAGGACACGGAAUUGGUGGAGGUGGCGGUGGCGGACAUGGCGUCUCUGGGGUUGGAGUUGGCGGUGGUGGCGGGGUUACGACUGGUGGGGUUGGAGUUGGCGGUGGAGGAGAAGGCGUAGGGGAUGGAGUGUAUGGAGGUGGUGGCUUGAUGGUGGGCGGUUUUGGAGUGUAAGGUGGAGGGGAUGGAGUGUAUGGAGGUGGUGGCUUGACGGUGGGCGGUUUUGGAGUGUAAGGUGGAGGGGAUGGAGUGUACGGAGGUGGUGGCUUGACGGUGGGUGGUUUUGGAGUGUAAGGUGGAGGGCAUGGAGUGUACGGAGUUGGAGGCUUGACGGUGGGCGGCUUUGGGGUGUGAUGAGGUGGCUUGUCGGUGGGUGGUUUGGGAGUGUGAUGAGGUGGUUUAACGGUGGGUGGUUUUGGGGUAUGAUGAGGUGGUUUUGGGAUAUGAUGAGGUGGUUUAACGGUGGGUGGUUUUGGAGUGUGAUGAGGUGGUUUAACGGUGGGUGGUUUUGGAGUGUGAUGAGGUGGUUUGACGGUGGGUGGUUUUGGAGUGUGAUGAGGUGGCUUGACAGUGGGUGGUUUUGGAGUGUGAUGUGGUGGCUUGACAGUGGGUGGUUUUGGAGUGUGAUGUGGUGGUUUGACAGUGGGUGGUUUAGGCGGUUUAACGGGAUGUUGAGGAGGUUUAAC